GGAACGGCCACCACGCGCUAGAGUCCGGCCCCGCCCGGCCCCGCCCGGCCCCGCCCGGCCCCGCCCUCCUCUCCUCGUGCUCCCACCCGCAGAGAUCGGCGCCCUGGUUGGGUCCCCCGGCCGCAGCACGCUGCUCCGCCGCCGCCUCCAGGCCGGAUCGCGAAGACGGCAGGCCUUGACUCUGAUCCAUUUUCCAGUCUUGCCUGAUCGGCCCCUUGAGCCAGGAGCCCUUCUCUUCGGCCGUCAGGGCUGCUAAAGAGUUACUGUCACGAAUUCAGAAGAGGUUCCAGAAGCCCCAGGAAAAGCUGAAGGCAUUGAAGGAGGCAGCCAGUGGCCUCCUUUCAAACCACAGCGAAGAACUGCAGGCGGCAGAGGAGCUCCUGACGGAAACUCAGACCAAGACCCAGGAGAGCAAUGGCCUGCUGCUCCUCAUCAAGGCCAGCCUAAGAGAGUUCGGCCCAACAACCCAAGUUUGGAAAAGCUGAUUCCUAUGAAAAACUGGAGAAACUAGGAGAAGGACCUUAUGCAGCAGUCUACAAAGGGAAAAGCGAGUAAGUUAAAUAUUUUAAAGAACAAGUCAAGGGAGAGAGAGAGGGCAGCUGAGGCCUAGGAGUUGGAAUGGCAGCAGGGGUCGCGCCUGGCUCCCACGCGCGCCAGGCCUUGGGCCAGAGGAGUUGCGGCUCUGCACCGCGCCUCGCCUCGGGCUGGGAACUUGUGCGCUGGUCUCCCGUGCCUCCUCCGUCGGGCGCCACCUCUGUUACAAAGGAGAGCAAAUGAGGCGGAGGCGGCAGAGGCCUCCCUGCUCCCGGCCUCCACCCAGGCCUAUGGCCCUCGCCUUGUCUGCGCUGCGUGCUGGACCAGUUUCGCGAAAUUGCCUGGGCCCCGCACACCCCAGAUGUGGGACCUCAUGGAGCCACAGCCAAGCAAGAAGAUCUGCAGGAUGAAGAACUUUGUCAGAGAGUUUCAGCAGCAUCGGAAGGACGUUUGUGAGGGGAGGUGCAAUAAUAGACGUACCGAGCUUGGAUGCCUAUGAACCACAGCAAUGACCAGCACGGGACGAUAUCUAGCUCCUCGGGAACUUCCUGAAAUGAGCUUUUCUAAGCUGAAACUAGGGCUGGAACUGGCAUCGUGGGUUGCAGCUGCUCUUGACUCACCAAAGCUGAGCCUUACUCACGGGGGCAUAGCUUCUCUUUCAGGGUCCUUCCUCUGAAGGGGUGGUGCCCCAUGGUGAUAAAACAGCACUAUACCCAGACUCCAGAUAUCUGCCUUCCUCCCAUCGUCCCCUUUCCUCAGAACCAGUUCUGGAGCACUGUAGAUCUCAGUCUCACAGCGCCCUUGCAGCACAGUGCCAGCUCCACACCUGGUGGCGAGGCCAGAGUCUCCCAGCUUUACGUUGCCCUCUGCAUCGAGCAGGAUGCUGUCUGGCUUCAGGUCUCGAUGGACAGUACCAUGGCCAUGUGCAGCACGUUACGGCUGAUGACACUAGCUGCCCGAACAUUUCCUGUGCCUUUUCCUCACGCAGCCUGCCCACUUCCAGUAUUUGCUUCCUCAGAUUCCCUCCCAGCGCAUACUCCAUCACUGUGAAAGUAUAAUUUUCUGUAUUUAAAAUCUGGAAGAGAGGUGCUGAGGAGCUCCAUCUGGACGGAACCUUCAUCUGGCUAUGGAUCGAGAUAGUGACAGAGACCCAAAUUGGAGCACCGGACUGAGCUCUUAAGAUCCAAAUGAGGAGCAGAAGGAGGGAGAACAUGAGCAAGGAAGUCAGGAACACGAGGGGUGCACCCACCCACUGUGACAGUGGAACUGAUCUAUUGGGAGCUCACCAAGGCCAGCGGGACUGGGACUGAAUAAGCAUGGGAUGAAACCGGACUUUCUGAACGUGGUAGACAAUUAAGGCUGAUGAGAAGCCAAGGACAUGGCACUAGGUUUCGAUCCUAAUACAUGAACUGGCUUUGAGGGAGCCCAGACUGUUUGGAUGCUCACCUUCCUGGCUUUGGCACAACUGUUUCUGGACAGGAGGCCUGCUUUCCCCCGGAAUAAGGGCCUAGACAGGCAACUUAAUGUGUUGGACACCAUCGACCAGGGUGGACUUGGCACUGUGGCACUGGCAUGCCCUCGCCGUGUUUGCAUGCUGGUGGCAAAUAAAAUGGUAGAAAUGAAAACGAACACCUUCCUCUAGUCAUGACUGAAGUGGCAGUCCUAAGAAAUGAUUAAACACCCCUACUUCAUUUGCCUCUUCCAGAUUUUAAAUACAGAAAAUUAUACUUUGAUAAUGAUGGAGUUUGCGCCGGGAGGAAAUCUGAGGGAGCAAAUACUGGAAGAAGGGCAGGCUGCAUGAGGGAAAAGGUGCAGAAAAUAUUCAGACUGCUAGUGUCACCUGUAGAGUGCCGCCCAUGGCCAUGGCAUUGCCAUCGAGACCGGAAGCCCCAGAACAUGCUGCUCGAUUAGAUGCAGAGGGCGAUGUGAAGCUGGGAGACUCUGGCCUCACCACCAGGUGUGCAGCUGGCACUGUGCAGCAAGGGCGCUGUGGGACUGAGAUCUACAAUGCUCCAGAACUGGUUCUGAGGAAAGGGGAUGAUGGGAGGAAGGCAGAUAUCUGGAGUCUGGGUAUAGUGGGCUGUUUUAUCACCACGGGGCACCACCCCUUCUGAGGAAGCACCCUGAAAGAGAUAUCCACCCUGAAAGAGAUAUUGAGAAGAAUAUAUCCAAAGGAAGGGAUUACUUCAUGCAGCACGCCGCUCCCGCCAGCAGAAGAGACGACCGCAACAGGAUUCUUCUCAGAACACACUUUAUUGGAGCACUUACACUUGAGGUUGUAGAGAGGCAAAAGACCCCGUCCCCGUGAAGCAGAAGAAUAUAUACGAUGCCAGACAAAGCCCUGACGUGUCAUCAACCCAAUGGCUCAGGCCAGAAUGGAGUGAUCGUGCCAGAUUAUGAUUGGCCAGAUUGGAUGGCCAGAUCGAAAGACUCCCCGCGCUGGGGGGAGCUCGCGCGCACGUGCACAAGUUGUCUGUCAAGUUUGACGUGGAACAGCAAAUGGCGCCCAGGCUCCGUGCCCACGACAUGACAGUGCCAUGGCGCAUGCUACAUCUCCACGCGCUAUAUCUCCGCGCGCUACAUCUCCCCCUUUUAUAUUUUAAAGCAGAAACCCGAUCUAGUUAGAGACCUCAUGAUGUCCCCAACGAUCAAGGGUCAGGGUGCGCUGUGCGCGUCAUGCUGUGUAUCCUCUCAUGUGCAAUGGCAGCAAGGCCUGUGAGGUGCAAGGACUACCAGCACGUUUUAAAAAACAGAGAAAAUAGGAUGUGCCUGUCCCAGUGCAAUGUCUGUAAUGACUUGGUGUGCAGAGGCCACAUCCAGUUAGAGGUCAUGCUUGAGGCUAGACAGCCAGACCUGAGGGGAGAUGCCAUGUUCGAGGGCGGCAAGGGCCUGGACUAUAAUUGCUUUGUCCCGAGCUUGCCGUGCACAAAAUCGGCGCAGAAGCCAAAGGCAGAGAAACACGCCGAGGCAACAUAUGGCACCGGCUACAUCACCGCGCGCUACAACAUCACAGCUUACAUAUUUAAAAGACUUGAUAAUCUCUUUAUUUCAAAUGCUCAGUGUUGCCCCAGAGAGGAGGCCCUCCAUUGAAGACCUUCAACAUCAUCCAUGGGUCAAGAACCCUGAAGGAAACAUCCCUAGUGAGCCCUUCCCAGAUCCUGUAUUUGUAAAAGAGCUCUUUUCCUAUGGAUUUGCUCUAAAAAGAUCAUAUACUCCUUAUAUAAAAGAGAAUAUAAUGAGAUCAUGAGGCCAUACCUAUUAGAACAGGAACAACAGGAGCUUGACCCCACCACCUCAGUCAAGGUGGGCAACCCUGGCGCUGCACCUCUACCAUCUCUGCUACCUGCUUUAACAUCUGGUCAUCACCUGAGAAGAAGAGCCAGUGAGCCCGCCCACAACUGGGCUUUUCCACACCCAGUCUUCAGAAGAGAAUAUACCUAAUGUCCUGACAUUAUCAGGGCCGAAGAUGACCAGGGGGCCCCCAUGCCUCUAUGUUGUCCACAGAAGAAGAGCCCCACUUUGAGCCAUGCCCCACUGACCAAGGCUGCAUCUGCCCCAUGUGUCUGCCACAGCAUGUUAACAGAAGAAAUGCCCCUGCUGCCUAGACCUGACCCUGACAUGGAGACAGCAUCUUCCACUCAGAACACCGGGUGCUGCUGGAGACUGAGCAGGGCAAUCAGGGCUAGCCUGUCAAGACUGUGUUGCUUCCUUGGGUCCCCAAAUACACAAACCCAGCCUGUGUUCAACACCAGAGUGGCUCCACUGAGAGAGGCAGGAGGAGAAACUCAGUAAGGGAUCUUUGAGUCCCUGAAUGGGGACCUUUCAGAUCCCUCUGGUUGGACUUGUUUGUUCCUCUUAAUUCUUUGAACAUUGGGGUAUGUGUGUGGGGUUAUGAACUCUUCCCCCCUGAACAUUCCCACAUUAUGCUCAGUUUUCAGAGCUGCCUUCCUCUUCAGUAAAGUGAUCCCUGCUGUUGAACUUGUGGGUCCCAGCUCUCUUCUCCAUAGAUGUGUGCAGGCAAACAGCCACUGAAACAGAGCAUUGAUCAGCUAGACUUCCCUGAUGCCAAGAGCCUGCACCAGACAGGACACCUGGAUCUGCAUCAGCUGUGUCUCUCACCAGCGAAGACCUCAUGAAUAUCUUUUAGCUUGGAGGACACAGUGUUCUCUGCUUCCAUCUUCAGUUACCUCGUCUUCUCUGAACAGCCACUGCCUGGUCCUAGGCCUCCUGAUGCACGUGGACCCCUGGCAGACCAUGGUCUCUGUGUGCAGGACAGGAGGCCAUCAUCGCUAGGUCAGACAUCAUCAUCUGCUUCGUCACCACCAUCUCUAAUCUGGAGGUGUGAACGAUGUUAGAAGUGAGAACGAAGAUUGCCGUCGGCGUUGCAUGCAGUAUGCUGGCUGUUGCGUUUGUGCUCACAAUUUUCAUAUUUUAUCUCGUCUUUAAAGCAGUCAAGAAAUUCAAAGCCUGUGCCGGUUCUCCCUGCCUCGGACAACCUUGUGAGCAUCUCGAAGAGUGGUCCCCGAUUCAGCAGGCAGAACCUUACACUGCAGGUAGACCACAUCGAAGCUUUUGAGGAAGCUGAAGGCGUUGAACUUGAACUGGGCCACAUUCUUUCCAGGGGUAUGGAGGUUGGAGUAGGAAUUGUCUUUGAUGCACCCAAUAAAGAAGAAAACCCAGACCUAAAAGGUUACUAACACAUGGCAUGAAUUUCCUUUAUCCCACGUAACCAGGUUGGCUUCUAAGGUUCCGAAUCCCAAAGAGAGUUCUUCCCACUCCCCUUGCCUUUAUGAGCAGCUACUACUACUAUACUACUAUGCUACUACUACUACCACCACCUACAGUUUUAACACCAUUGUUAAUGGAAACCCUAUACCUAGUCAUAAACAGAAGGGAGACAUUUAAAUACAGUAAAAACAAGUCAAGGUUUUAGCUGUAACCUUUGCCUUCUAGCUCUACCGUAUUUUGCCUAAAGGGCAGAUUAUAUCGUGGCUGUUACAUUUUAAAAUGCACCGAGAUUAUAUAAAAAAUUUAUAAUAGGCCUGAUAAUGCAAGUCAGUGGACGAGGGCUUGGUUACUUACCACCCCGAUGUUUUGAGUUCAGUUCCCAACACUACCCAAAGAAAGUGUCUUGUAAACUGUAGGGUGACAUACGUGGUAUAUUAAGAGGAGAUAAAGUGUUGUUAUGUAAAUGUAUAGUUCAAAAGAAUCAGAGAAGUUAGAAUAGGUAGGCACAGGGCAGGGAAAGAACAUAAGACAAAUAUAACAAAUGGUGGUGGAGUCUAAUCCAACUGCUUGGAUGAGAAUGUUAAGUAUGAACGGUUCAUAUUUACACCAAUGUGAAGACAGAGAAUAGGUUACAGGAGAAUCCACAAAUCCUCCAGCUACGUGCUCUUUACAAGACAGCCGCUGUCAGUGCACAGACACCGACACUGAGAUGGAGGGAGUGCAGCAUGGCAGCUGCUCCUUCGUUCAGAACAAACUUCAGAGCGCGCAGAACUGUCAGGGCCAAGAUGGGUGCUUGGUAACAACAAAAGAAAGGGUCAACCCUCUAGGAGCAGAUCCUUACCCGAGAUAAUCGAGGUAAGGAACAAUCUGUAUCCCAAUAUAAUAAUCAUUAAUAUAACACACCUGCAGGCAGAGUGUUAAAUAUGGGAAGCAAAGGGAACCGAAGUGAGAUGCUGACAAACCCACUGUAGUAACUGGAUGCUUCACUAUCCCUCUCUCAACCAUAGAUCCAAUGGGGAGGAAUGCAGUAAGGGAAUAAGGGACCCGAGGAACACUGUUGAUCUACUAGAUCUUGUUGACAUUAAUUAAACAGUCUAUCCAACCACAGUAAAAUGCACAUUCUUCUCAAUCCAGGUAGAAUAUUCAUUAGGACAGACCAUGUUCCAGCCCAUAAGAAAUACUUUAAUAGUCUUGAAAGGAUAGAAAGACAUUGUCAGGUAGCAAUGGAAUUAAACUUAAAAUUAAUGACAGCAAUCUUUCUGGGAAAUUCUCAAAUACGUGGAAGUAGACGGUAUAUUUUCAGGCAACUUUUGUAUCAGAAAUAUCCUAAGAGAAAUCUAGGACUGUUUUGAAAGAACUGAAAAUGGUGCCUGUGUUGUGAGUGAGAAGAGCCCACAGAGGCUCACUUUUAAAUGCUUGGACCCCAGUUGGUGGUUGGAGGAUGUGUGUCACUGGGGGUAGGCUUUGAGGUUUCAAAAGACUAGUACUGUUCCCUGUGUUCUCUGUCUGAAUCCUACUUCUGAAUUGGGAUGUAAGCACUCCACUUUUCCUGCCUCCGUCCCUUCACACUGCCAUCGUGGACCCUAACCCUCUAAAUCCAUAAGCCAAAUUAAACACUUUCUUUACAAGUUUCCUUGGUCACCAUGUUUUGUCACAGCCAUAGAAAAGUAAACAAUACAAUACCUAACUUACCAAAAUUUGUGGGAUCCUGCUAAGGUAACACUUGGGAGGAUUUAUAUAGUAUUAAAAUGCAUAUAAUUUGUAAAGAUGUCCAAUCAACCAAAGAUUUAAAGGCUAGAGAAAGAGGGACAAAUUAAGCCUAAAGUAAGAAGAAUAGUGUGCUGGUUGUAACGUUCUGACACCCAACUGAACUCACCCUUAAUAGUAUGACCAUAAGAGGAGUCAGAAGUCAGAUCCUCCUGAAUCAGGUGAUGAAAGGAGACAGAGACAGAGACCCACACUGGAGCACCGGACAGAAAUCUCAAGGUCCAAAUCAGGAGCAGAAGGAGAGAGAGCAUGAGCAAGGAACUCAGGACCGCGAGGGGUGCACCCACACACUGAGACAAUGGGGAUGAUCUAUAGGGAACUCACCAAGGCCAGCUGGCCUGGGUCUGAAAAAGCCUGGGAUAAAACCGGACUCGCUGAACAUAGAGGACAAUGAGGACUACUGAGAACUCAAGAACAAUGGCAAUGGGUUUUUGAUCCUACUGCACGUACUGGCUUUGUGGGAGCCUAGGCAGUUUGGAUGCUCACCUUACGAGACCUGGACGGAGGUGGGUGGUCCUUGGACUUCCCACAGGGCAGGGAACCCUGAUUGC